GACGAAGUCCACUCUGACUCCACCCUGUUAGGCUUUCAGUGAACAGCAAAGAUCACAGUUGGAAACAUCUUAACACUCCACAGGUUUUAUCCACCAGGUUUCAGGAUGAAGAUGAUGUCCAGCAUCCUGCUGCUCCUCAUCCUCAGCUCAUGUCUCUGUGCAGCAACAUUUGUAGUGAAUGUGACACAGAGCAGCUAUCAGGCAGAGGAGAAGCAGAACAUCACUCUGGAGUGGACCUUCACCACCAAGACUCAGGGAACCUGGAGGAAUCUGUUCAUCGUCUGCAGCUUGUUGGCUCCUGAUAAAACCGAGUUCUCUAUCAGGUCCAUGAAGGAGUUGAGAUUCCAGAGUCUCAGGAUGAUCAGUUUUCAGGACGAGUCAGAGCGACAAAGACGUCCUCAGAGAAGGACGAAUCAGACUCCAUGUGUCCAGACUGAGGACUGAAGACUCUGGUCUGUAUCGAUGUGACGUGAAAACUGAAGAUGGAUUCAACUCUGGAAGAUGUCGACUCAGCGUUACUGUUCAUAAAAACAUCUUAGCUGUUCCUGGACAGAAAGUCUCUCUGCCAUGCCGACUCCCCAACAACAAAACCUGCUGUGGUUGUGCAGUGGACCCGACCGGACCUGGAUCCAGAAUAUGUCCUGCUGUUCAGAGAUGAGCAGCUGGAUCCAGAGAACCAGCAUCCAUCUUUAGGAACCGGGUGGAUCUGCAGGACAGACGGAUGGAGGACGGAGACGUGUCUUUGCUUCUGAGCAACGUGACGACCAACGACUCGGGACAAAUGAGUGUCGAGUUUUUCAGAGAGAAGCAACCGGCAGUAUGACACUCAGCGGAACUGUCUACCCUGGUUGUGGCGCCUCCUACAGAAAACAAGGAGGAAAGAAACGAAGAUGGAAGCAAAAACAAACAUAUUGGACCGAUGAUUGGAGGCCUACUGAUCGUUGCACUGAUAAUUGGUUUGGUUCUUGGCUUCUAUUUAAGGAAGCAGAAGAUGAACGGAUCUUAAAGAAGAACCAAAACUCAGUGAGGGUUGUGGAUCGUUCUGGUUCAGAUCCCCAACCUUCAUCCUCAGAGCCCAACAUCCUCCAUGAUGUGAAUGUGACUUUGCUCUAACACUUGAUUGCAAUGGUUGCAUGAGCUCCUCUGCAGCCCAUCAGGUUCUGCAGAGGAUUUAAUCACUGAAUCAUUCAUGUGGCUACAGGGAAAGUCCUAAAGCCUGCAGGACUUGGGCUCUGAGGACCAGGGUUGGGAUCACUGCUCCAGUUGACCCAACAUUGGUUUCUUCAGCUGUUACAGUUUAUAUCUUGAUGCUCUGAAUGUGAAUUUAUAAACAUGUAAAUAUGAUCUAAGAGUAAUACGUACCAUAUUAUUUUAUUUAUUAAAAGUAGUUAUAUAUUUAUAUAACUUUGAUUAUAUUGUAAUAUAAGUAUAUUAUUGUUUCCUUUCUUUAGUCGCAGUUUCACAAAGGUUGAUGUUCACAUGCAUUUUAAUGUUGUUCUUAUUUUUAUUCAUAUCUAACCUUAAAUCACUCCCUCCUCCUCUUUCUGUGGAUUAUUAUUGAAUAUUUUUGCAUUAUGUGAACAUUAUCUGCUGGGUUCAUUUAAUGUACAUGAUUUUGUAAAAAGUGUUUUUAAUCUUACUCUAUUAAAUAUUCUUAUUGCUUUUUUCUGAAAUGUGAUUAUUGGCUAUAGAGUAUUUUUAUAUCUUUUAUUCCCAGAUCUAUGAACAGUACAAUAGAUACAGUAAAACAUGGAGGAAUAUAGAAUAUGCAGGAAUUUCAGACCUGAAAUAUAAUUUAUUCUUCCAAGAACUGCAGUAAAUAUGACCAGAUUUGUUUGAUUAAAUGAGGUUCCAUGCUCAUUUUAUUUAAUUAACUCUUUUAAAAGAAGCUUUAAGUUUUGAAUGUCGUCGUUAAAACGUUCUAAUAAAAUCUGCUGCUUGUUUUCUUUUAGUUUUUAUUUUCUUAAUGUCUUAUGAAGUAUAAAUGUUGUACAGAAAUGUUUAGA